rnacentral:piRNA from 1 species
UCGUUGAUAAGAUGGUUUGAGUUCAGA